rnacentral:rRNA from 1 species
UACGUAGGGGGCUAGCGUUGUCCGGAAUCAUUGGGCGUAAAGCGCGUGUAGGCGGUCCGGUAAGUCUGCUGUGAAAAUCGGGGGCUCAACCCUCGAAUGCCGGUGGAUACUGUCGGGCUAGAGUGCGGAAGAGGCGAGUGGAAUCCUGGUGUAGCGGUGAAAUGCGCAGAUAUCAGGAGGAACACCUAUUGCGAAGGCAGCUCGCUGGGACGUAACUGACGCUGAGACGCGAAAGCGUGGGGAGCAAACAGG